GCUCAUCUGGGAUUGAACCCACUAAGCUGUUCUGCCAAAGAAGCAGACUCUGAAGCUUGCUAAGUUCCCCAAUUCCCCUUGGAAUCAAACCAGAUAAAGAGCUCUGAUACAGGUACAAAUUCUGCAACUCACUGCAGUUUCCAAUCUCUUCUGGGAUAGGACCUGAUAGGAGUGUUGUAUAAAUGGCUAUAGUUUGAAUUCUUUUCAGCUUUCCAAUUGAUGAAGGCAAGCUCCCAGAAAUGCUAGUUUCAGCAAGGCCUAACACAACCAAGUUGGUGCAGUUCCCAAUCUCCUGAGGCAGCUCAUCCUUCAGAUUUUUGUUCCCAC
rnacentral:lncRNA from 1 species